rnacentral:tRNA from 1 species
AGGGAGACCUAAUUCAGGUAGGAGACGAAAAAAAAGUAGUCCCAACCAAGAAUCAAUCCCAAAAGGUCGGAGCGAGGUAUGAGGCUUUCAAACUAGGUUCUGGGUUCAUAAAAGACCUGAAUCAGGAACAAGGGCUAUUAGCUCAGGUGGUUAGAGCGCACCCCUGAUAAGGGUGAGGUCCCUGGUUCGAGUCCAGGAUGGCCCACCUGCACAGGUGGCAAAAACAAAGAAAAGAAGCUCCGAAUCAGCACCUUAUCUUACUUAUAUAGUAAGAGAGAAUGCUGGCUCUGAGUUCAGAGUCCAGAGGAACCUUGAAAACUGCAUAGAGCUAGGUGAAAAAGCCAAAAAAGAAGACCGCAA